AAAAACUUAAAAAAAAAAAAAAAAACAAAAAACUCAGCACUGACUCUAUGAGCAAGCAAAUGACUAUUAUGAGACUCCUACAGCAAAUUUUUAAAAGCAGGAAUCCACAGGAGGAAAUCUGAUUGUUUCUGCAGGAUGUCUGUCAUUCACUUCUCAUGCUGCCAUGAUACACGCAAACAUGAUGAAUGAUUGUGCAUGAUGACAUAAUAUGGCUGCCAAACCACACUGCUCCGUAACUCUCACCUCUAUCUCCUUCUCAUAAAAGUCAUGCCCGGGGACAUGACUGUGUAUCUCCCAAACGCAGCAGGGCUGUGAGAAAUAUUGUAAUUUUUGAAAUGAAAAAUAUAUUAGUAUCAAAAUUAAGGGCUUGGCUUGGUACACCUGAUGGUAAAGAAUGCAAGUGACACUGGCAAAGAGACCCAUUUCAGUGUCUCUGUUUAGCACCUAAACCAUGCAGUUUAAAAUAAGAAACUGGUAUUGACAGUCAAGGUUUGAGUAUUUCAGAAAUGCUAUGAUGAUUUAAAAUAAUUUGCCUUUGAUAUACUCCCUUUCCCUGGGAUGACUUAUACUUUUUAGUUGGACUAAAGAUAAUGUUUCUAAUCUGCAUUCAAUAAAUAACUGUAGCAUCACCUUGCCAUGGAAAUAAAAACUAAGGUAAAAAAAGAAAAUAGCAAAGUUGGAAUUAAAGAGUUAACAGUAUGAAAAAAGGGGAUUAAAACAAAAUGAUGAAAAAUGCCUGCCUUUUUUCAACAGUGGUUGAGUUGGAGUCUUGCCAUCCUCUUCCUCAUCUAGAUUAUGUUUAAAAAACACAAAAUAUAAGUUAAUUGUCUUUAUAUUAAUAAUGAAAAUGUAAAUAGAGCACAUUUAUAAACAGAGCAUAGUAUGAUGAGACAGUCUGUGAAAAAUAAUCAAGACUGAAAAUAGAUAUCUUCUACACUGAGUGUUGAGGAGUUUUAAAAGCAAACAUAUUUUAGACCCCUCCAACAGGGCUACUGAUGAACGCUCACCCCUACAUUGUAUUCCUGUAAAACUGACAAAAACUGGAACACGAUUUUUAAGCUUGUAAAUGUUCAUACUUGAAAUCAGUUGAAAAGAAUUUCAACUAUGGCUUAUAGAAUUGAAGUAGGACGUUAAAAACUGACACUGCAGAUAACACAUGAAUUUUAAACACUGCCACUGCAUCACUGGGCAAAUGACUGAAAAGUUACUUUUAGAAACGUUUAAUGGAUAUCCGGUCCUGGUAAAAACUAAUCACCACUUGAAACAGGAAGGAAUUUGAUCAGAGACAGAGUCUUUUGGUUUAUAUAAAAUACUAUUUACACAUAUAUACAUCAAUUGAUAUAUAAAACGUAAGCAUAUAUAUACAUGUAUAUAUGUUUGUAUGCAUGUACUGGUCCAUCUGUAUUCAGGUAUCUUUAAGUAUUUUCUUGGGGUUAACAGUUUUGCUAAUCUCAGGUUCUUCUUCAGAUAAGCUCAUGUGAGGUGUCUGAGGCAUGUAAAACUCCGGACCCGGACAGGGAAGAGUACACUGCUCUGGAGUCAAGUGGCUCCCAGGAUUCCAGGAUUCCAGGAUUCCCUCUAACGCUUCUCCUGGCUGCGUCAGCUUGAAAUGAAGAACUUAAAAGAACUUACCGUCUACCUCAAAAAGUGGCUGAUGAAGAGGAAAGGUCACAAACAUUCAGCAUGUAUUAAAGAGUAUAAUUCUGGGCUACUUUUGUGCAGGAAAAAAGGAAACUUUGCAAGAAAUAUCAGCAGAUGAAAAUGUUACCGAACAGUAAGUCAAGAAGUGAGUGGCACCUAACACAGAUGCUUCUAUGUCACCUUACCGCUUACCUGAAGUUUUUCACGUGGUCUUCCACCCCUGAAAGACGAAUCGAAUGUUGCAGAGCAUUUAGGUAAGUCAGAGCUUGUGUAGAGGAUCCCCAGUUCACGUCUGUGGGAAGACAGGGUACACACAGCAACACACCAGUAUUAACCAACGAUCAAGAACCAGUUUGAGGCACAGAGAAGUAAACGAUGCUCUGUUUAAAAAAACAAAUGCUAAAAUAAACCAAUGUACUGACAAUGCUCAAGAGUUCAAGUGCAUGGCAUGACACUGUGAUAAUACUAAUCUGAACUGGAACUGCAUUUAAAGAACAAGUACAGUUCAGAAAAGACUAAAGUGAUGGGGCUAGAGACACGCUGUGCAUGCAACUCAACAAAGUUCCACAAAUAAUUUUAAGAUUAUUGUUUAUAUAGCCAGAGGCCUACUGGGAAAGAGGCUGAUCUCUGAUGGAAAGAUUUCAAAACUGUGAAAUUACCAUUCAUAGAACUUAAUAGUUUGUUAUUGGAACAGGAAAAUUUCACACUCUGCAUUGAGUAAACAGC